UUUGCUCGUUGAGACGUAACCUUGGCUAUAGUGCCAUUGUUAUGCCAUAAGCGGGCAAACAGAAAACUGGCACAAAAUGACCUGAUGGCCCUGUACUGUGGGCUUCAGGAAUGGAAUUUGGCCAGAUAGA
ensembl:snoRNA small nucleolar RNA SNORA17